rnacentral:rRNA from 1 species
GAUGAACGCUGGCGGCGUGCCUAAUACAUGCAAGUCGAGCGAACAGACGAGGAGCUUGCUCCUCUGACGUUAGCGGCGGACGGGUGAGUAACACGUGGAUAACCUACCUAUAAGACUGGGAUAACUUCGGGAAACCGGAGCUAAUACCGGAUAAUAUAUUGAACCGCAUGGUUCAAUAGUGAAAGACGGUUUUGCUGUCACUUAUAGAUGGAUCCGCGCCGCAUUAGCUAGUUGGUAAGGUAACGGCCUACCAAGGCAACGAUGCGUAGCCGACCUGAGAGGGUGAUCGGCCACACUGGAACUGAGACACGGUCCAGACUCCUACGGGAGGCAGCAGUAGGGAAUCUUCCGCAAUGGGCGAAAGCCUGACGGAGCAACGCCGCGUGAGUGAUGAAGGUCUUCGGAUCGUAAAACUCUGUUAUUAGGGAAGAACAAAUGUGUAAGUAACUAUGCAGGUCUUGACGGUACCUAAUCAGAAAGCCACGGCUAACUACGUG